rnacentral:RNase_P_RNA from 1 species
UAAGUAAGCCAGACAGUCGCAUGUAUUGAUUCGAAAGAAGAUACCUGAGGAACGUCCGGGCUCCACAGAGCAAGGUGCUGGGUAACCCCCAGUGGAGGUAACUCUAAGGAAAGUGCAACAGAAAUAAACCACCUAUCAAUUUGAUGGGAAAGGGUGGAAAGGCGAGGUAAGAGCUCACCGUCCCUUAGGUGACUAAGGGAGCCAUGUAAACCCCACCUGGAGCAAGACCGUAUAAAGACAUAAAUAGUUGCUCGCUAGUCUUGGGUAGGUCGCUAGAGCCAAUAGGUAACUGUUGGCGUAGAUAGAUGACUGUCAAAUACAGAACCCGGCGUAUAGACUUGGUUAACAC